AGCGAACGCUGGCGGCAGGCCUAACACAUGCAAGUCGAACGAACUCUUCGGAGUUAGUGGCGGACGGGUGAGUAACACGUGGGAACGUGCCUUUAGGUUCGGAAUAACUCAGGGAAACUUGUGCUAAUACCGAAUGUGCCCUUCGGGGGAAAGAUUUAUCGCCUUUAGAGCGGCCCGCGUCUGAUUAGCUAGUUGGUGAGGUAAAGGCUAACCAAGGCGACGAUCAGUAGCUGGUCUGAGAGGAUGAUCAGCCACAUUGGGACUGGGACACGGCCCAAACUCCUACGGGAGGCAGCAGUGGGGAAUCUUGCGCAAUGGGCGAAAGCUUGACGCAGCCAUGCCGCGUGAAUGAUGAAGGUCUUAGGAUUGUAAAAUUCUUUCACCGGGGACGAUAAUGACGGUACCCGGAGAAGAAGCCCCGGCUAACUUCGUGCCAGCCGCCGCAGUAA
rnacentral:rRNA from 1 species